UUUUUUUUUUUUUUUUUUUUUUUUUGAGACGGAGUCUCGCUCUGUCGCCCGGGCUGGAGUGCAGUGGCCGGAUCUCGGCUCACUGCAAGCUCCGCCUCCCGGGUUCACGCCAUUCUCCUGCCUCAGCCUCCCGUGUAGCUGGGACUACAGGCGCCCGCCACCUCGCCCAGCUAGUUUUUUUUUGUAUUUUUUAGUAGAGAUGGGGUUUCACAUCGUGUUAGCCAGGAUGGUCUCGAUCUCCUGACCUCGUGAUCCGCCCGUCUCGGCCUCCCAAAGUGCUGGGAUUACAGGCUUGAGCCACCGCGCCCGGCCCAGACUUCUUCUAAGAGCUUUGCAUUUCACAUGCAUUAACUCACUCACUGCUCACAUCAGACCCAAACAUCAUCACCCUUUUACAAAUGGGGAAACUGAGGCUCAGAAAUGCUAAGCCACCUGCCUCUGAGGCAAGGGGAGGAGCUGAGAUCUGAACAUAGGCAGCACUGAUUCCAUCUCAUACUGCUCUGCCCCUCCUUAAGGACAUGCCUUAUGGGUCAGCGAUCAUAAAUACAGCUUUCAUCUUAUGCCUCCAAAGCACAUGCAUGGCCAUGGCCUGAUGUCACUGGAUCCUGCCAGGAAUCAUACAGCACAGACGUCUUUCUCCCCAUAUCCCAGAACCCCCUUAACAGACCUGCCAGGGAUCGCUGAGCUAGUAAGGUCUAAAAUCAGAGCAGCCAGCUGGAUUUGUGGACUGCUUACCCGUACUCGGCCCUUCCGCGAACGCUGCAUAACGCUUCUCCCUGCACCUUCCUCCGCCCACCAACCCAUCUGUGUCCCUCUAAAAAUAUGUACUUCGCCUUAUCCCUAUGGAAAUUCUCUCUCUCCUCCUUCUUCCUCUAAUCUUCUCUUUGCAGGGAGGAUAAGGGCCAAGACAUUGCAGAGAGGAUAAGGGCCAAGACCCAGUAGCAUAGGGUGCCAACACAGGCCAUGUGCACAGAAGGCAGGGUGGGUGGUUCUGGGCGGCCGCCUGUGCUCUGUGCACUUGAGGCCUAUUGGGGCUGGGACCUGGUUCCCUCCCAGGCCACUCCUGUGUCCUGCUCUCCCUCGCCAAGCCCCUUGGGUCUCUGCUUCCCAGGAAUGGAAACCACAGCUCCCCUUUUCAACCCUUUUGAGCUCCAAACUCCUAUUCUAAGACCCCUCCUUCCAGGAUGAUCUUUCUGACAAGGACAUCUAGCACAUGCCAGCCAGGCUGGGUGUUGCAGCUGCAGGCUCUUGAAUGAGAAUGCUGGGGUCCAAAUCCUGGCUGUGUCACUGACUUGCAGUGUGAUCUUGGGCACAUUACUAGACUUCUCUGUGUCUCCAUUUCUCAUCUGUGAAUGGGGACAGCAAUGACACCUGUCUCACAGGGUUUGGGGAGAAAAUGAAGGAAUCAUGUAAAUGCCUCAUGCAGUCCCCAGCACUGAACUCCACUCCACUGGUGCUUGUUGGAAGCUAGUGGCUGUGAGGUGGUUGCCACAUGGGUCAUUCUUACCCCGGGGUGGCUGUAGAUUUUAGAGAAAGCAAAAUGAAAGUUUUCAGGCCACACAUAC
ensembl:lncRNA